rnacentral:rRNA from 1 species
AUUCCUGUACCACCUAUAAUCGUUUUAAUCGAUGGGGGGACGCAGUAGGAUAGGCGAAGCGUACGAUUGGAUUGUACGUCUAAGCAGUGAGAUUGAGUGUUAGGCAAAUCCGGCACUCUUAAGAUUGAGCUGUGAUGGGGAGAGGAAAUUGUUUCCUCGAGUCGUUGAUUUCACACUGCCGAGAAAAGCCUCUAGAUAGAGAUUAGGUGCCCGUACCGCAAACCGACACAGGUAGUCAAGAUGAGAAUUCUAAGGUGAGCGAGCGAACUCUCGUUAAGGAACUCGGCAAAAUGACCCCGUAACUUCGGGAGAAGGGGUGCUCUUUAGGGUGCAAGCCCAGAAGAGCCGCAG